UACGUAGGGUGCAAGCGUUAAUCGGAAUUACUGGGCGUAAAGCGUGCGUAGACGGUAGCGUAAGUCAGAUGUGAAAGCCCCGGGCUCAACCUGGGAAUUGCAUUUGAGACUGCUCUGCUCGGGUGCGGAAGAGGGAAGCGGAAUUUCCGGUGUAGCGGUGAAAUGCGUAGAGAUGUGGAGGAACACCGAUGGCGAAGGCAGCCCCCUGGGUCAACACUGACGCUCAUGCACGAAAGCGUGGGGAGCAAACAGG
rnacentral:rRNA from 1 species